GCGGCGAACGGGUGAGUAAUACAUGGGAACUUGCCCUCCACUCAGGGAUAACCCACUGAAAAGUGGCUUAAUACCGGAUAGUCCCUUCGGGGUAAAGAUUUAUCGGUGGAGGAUAGGCCCAUGCUCUAUCAGCUUGUUGGUGAGGUAAUGGCUCACCAAGGCUAUGACGGAUAGCUGGUCUGAGAGGAUGAUCAGCCACAAUGGGACUGAGACACGGCCCAUACUCCUACGGGAGGCAGCAGUGAGGAAUUUUGCGAAUGGGGGAAACCCUGACGCAGCAAUACCGCGUGGAGGAUGACGGCUUUCGGGUUGUAAACUCCUUUUAUCUGGGAAGAAUUUUGACUGUACCAGAUGAAUAAGUCACGGCUAACUACGUGCCAGCAGCCGCGGUAAUACGUAGGUGGCAAGCGUUAUCCGGAAUUAUUGGGCGUAAAGCGUCCGCAGGUGGCAAGGUAAGUCAGAUAUUAAAUCUAUGGGCCCAACCCAUAAUCUGUAUUUGAAACUAUCUCGCUAGAGCAUGCCAGAGGUUGGCGGAAUUUCCGGUGUAGGGGUAAAAUCCGUUGAUAUCGGGAGGAACACCAAUUGCGAAGGCACCCAACUGGGGCAUUGCUGACACUCAUGGACGAAAGCGUGGGGAGCGAAAAGGAUUAGAUACCCUUGUAGUCCACGCCGUAAACGAUGGAUACUAGGUAUUGGAAGGAAUCGACCCCUUUCAGUGCCGUAAGCUAACGCAUUAAGUAUCCCGCCUGAGGACUACGAACGCAAGUUUAAAACUCAAAGGAAUAGACGGGGACCCACACAAGCGGUGGAGCGUGUUGCUUAAUUCGAUGAUAAGCGGAGAACCUUACCUAGGCUUGACAUCCCGAGAAGGCCCCAGAGAUGGGGGUGUGCCUACUUUCGUAGGAACUCGGUGACAGGUGCUGCAUGGUUGUCGUCAGCUCGUGCCGUGAGGUGUACGGUUAAGUCCGAUAACGAGCGAAACCCUUGUCGUAUGUUGUAUUUUUCAUGCGAGACUGCCUCGGUUAACGGGGAGGAAGGUAGGGAUGACGUCAAAUCAGCAUGGCUCUUACGCCUAGGGCUGCAAACGCGCUACAAUGGGUGGUACAAUAGGUCGAGCGAAGGGGUAACCCGGAGCUAAUCCUCUAAAGCCACUCUCAGUUCGAAUUGAGGGCUGAAACUCGCCCUCAUGAAGUUGGAAUCGCUAGUAACCGUGGAUCAGAACGCUACGGUGAAUAUGUUCCUGGGUCUUGUACUCACCGCCCGUCACGUCAUGAGAGCUGGAAACGUCCGAUGCACUCUUUUAGUAAGGGUGUGAAGACGGCGUCAGUAAUUGGGACGAAGUCGUAACAAGGUA
rnacentral:rRNA from 1 species